GCCCGCCUUCCCAGCAACGGUGACGUUGAGCUCUGGAUCUUUUGUCGGGAAAUGCGGUUAAACGUGGUGAACAAUUGCGGGUUUAGAAGAUUCAGUGAGAUCAUUCUUCUCUAAAGAACUUACUACCAGUUCUUCAUGAGCACGUGAACCCGCAAAUCGUAGUUGCUGGCAAGCUGGAAUCGCUAAAGUACACGUAUAAUUUAUGCCUACGCUAAAUCCUAGAGUGAAACAAAGGCCUUCAGGAAAGCAAACAGUUUCAAUUUAUUACCGUGACCUUCGCCUGCUUGACUUGUGAAGGUACACACUCAUUUGGUGCUAGGUCCAUACUGUCCAUACGGUACUAAAACCACAUACAGAGUUGUAAAACUAACUUACCUUAUUACUGUCAUCUAUUUGAGAAAAGUGGAUUAUAAUACAAUAAAGAAAGGGGUUAUCUGUG